GAACGCACAUUGCGCCCUCUAGUAUUCUGGCGGGCAUGCCUGUUCGAGCGUCAUUUCAACCAUCAAGCCCUAGGCUUGCGUUGGAGCCCUGCGGCCGCCGCAGCCUCCCAAAACCAGUGGCGGGCUCGCUAUUACACCGAGUGCAGUAGUUUACUCUUCGCUCAGGUCGUGUGGCGGGUGCUAGCCGUAAAACCCCCCUACUUCUCAAGGUUGACCUCGGAUCAGGUAGGAAUACCCGCUGAACUUAAG
rnacentral:misc_RNA from 1 species